rnacentral:rRNA from 1 species
AGAGUUUGAUCAUGGCUCAGAUUGAACGCUGGCGGCAGGCCUAACACAUGCAAGUCGAGCGGUAGCACAGAGAGCUUGCUCUCGGGUGACGAGCGGCGGACGGGUGAGUAAUGUCUGGGAAACUGCCUGAUGGAGGGGGAUAACUACUGGAAACGGUAGCUAAUACCGCAUAAUGUCGCAAGACCAAAGUGGGGGACCUUCGGGCCUCAUGCCAUCAGAUGUGCCCAGAUGGGAUUAGCUAGUAGGUGGGGUAACGGCUCACCUAGGCGACGAUCCCUAGCUGGUCUGAGAGGAUGACCAGCCACACUGGAACUGAGACACGGUCCAGACUCCUACGGGAGGCAGCAGUGGGGAAUAUUGCACAAUGGGCGCAAGCCUGAUGCAGCCAUGCCGCGUGUGUGAAGAAGGCCUUCGGGUUGUAAAGCACUUUCAGCGGGGAGGAAGGCGGUAAGGUUAAUAACCUCAGCGAUUGACGUUACCCGCAGAAGAAGCACCGGCUAACUCCGUGCCAGCAGCCGCGGUAAUACGGAGGGUGCAAGCGUUAAUCGGAAUUACUGGGCGUAAAGCGCACGCAGGCGGUCUGUCAAGUCGGAUGUGAAAUCCCCGGGCUCAACCUGGGAACUGCAUUCGAAACUGGCAGGCUAGAGUCUUGUAGAGGGGGGUAGAAUUCCAGGUGUAGCGGUGAAAUGCGUAGAGAUCUGGAGGAAUACCGGUGGCGAAGGCGGCCCCCUGGACAAAGACUGACGCUCAGGUGCGAAAGCGUGGGGAGCAAACAGGAUUAGAUACCCUGGUAGUCCACGCCGUAAACGAUGUCGAUUUGGAGGUUGUGCCCUUGAGGCGUGGCUUCCGGAGCUAACGCGUUAAAUCGACCGCCUGGGGAGUACGGCCGCAAGGUUAAAACUCAAAUGAAUUGACGGGGGCCCGCACAAGCGGUGGAGCAUGUGGUUUAAUUCGAUGCAACGCGAAGAACCUUACCUGGUCUUGACAUCCACAGAACUU